UGAACUAGGACAGGUCAAGGAUAUGUCAGAAUCCAAACAACUAGAAAUAUGAACAUAUACUCCGAUGAGUUUUGCAGAUAUCAUGUUGGAACUGUGGCAGUGGACUGCACUAAUGCGCCUUGACCAGCAGAUGGCAUCCUUCCAUUGACCUUCUCAGACAUUAAGCCUCAUUUAAGGUCAAAAAUCUUGGACGAAAACACCCUGGCUUCAGCCAACACUGAAGAAAGCCAUCACACUGAUACUCCACCUGACAGACACAGACAGACAGACAUGUGAGGUUAUCCUAUAAGAAAGAAAAUCCAUGAACUGGAGACACGCCUUGAUGUGUGCGGACCGGCCUACAGGCCGCAGCAGGGGACGCACGGAUGCAGGUUGAUGUUAGAGAUGCUCGCAUCAGCACCAGAGACGGUCGCAUCAUCCCAUGCAGACAAUGAUGCUUGCAUCAGCACCGCCGCGUCCCACUGGCUCUCUGCGGUCAGCCAUCAACUACAACUGUGACCCAUAUCAAUGCAUCCCAGGCCUUUGAAAACCUCUCCUUGCAUAUCCAAUACUAUGAAUCUUUGUUGUUUUCAAGGGUGCUGAAGGUAUCUGCUUAUCAACAGUCUAUCUAAUACUGUACAUAAAAUCUUU